rnacentral:tRNA from 1 species
GCCUGGCUGGCUCAGUUGGUGGAGCAUGCAACUCUUGAUUUUGGGGUUGUGGGUUCAAACCCCAUGCUGGGUA